rnacentral:rRNA from 1 species
UACAGAGGGGGCAAGCGUUGUUCGGAAUUACUGGGCGUAAAGCGCACGUAGGCGGCUUUGCAAGUCAGAGGUGAAAGCCCGGGGCUCAACCCCGGAAUAGCCUUUGAGACUGCAUCGCUAGAAUUGUGGAGAGGUAAGUGGAAUUCCGAGUGUAGAGGUGAAAUUCGUAGAUAUUCGGAAGAACACCAGUGGCGAAGGCGACUUACUGGACACAUAUUGACGCUGAGGUGCGAAAGCGUGGGGAGCAAACAGG